AUUACGUGAUAUUUUAUUCCAAUAUUGUUAUCCUUGUCCCUCCGAUCUUAGAGUCCAUAUGAGGCCCACGUCUACGAAUAGGCAGGCUUUUUUCUUCUUAAAUUUCACGUAGUUCCAGCAUUGGAUAUUUCUAGGAUAUGAAACAUUUUAUUUAUAAAGAAAAAUUACACGAUGUUAGGUAGGGCAUCCACUAUAUACCUUGUGGAGCCAAAGAGGAGAGCUAUGUGUGUGUUUGACACUAAUACGGAGAGAUCAUGUAUUCACGUGCCCCAAUUUUUACACCUAAAAUCUCCCCUACAGCAGUCAGCAGUUAUGCAUGUCUUCACUGUGUAUUAGGAUUAUUCCUCAGAGCAAGCAACAAAGCUCAGUCCUUGUAAUGGUCCAAGUUGUGCAGUACUGAUACAGUUUGAUUCUCAUAAUCCAAAUUGUUUUCCUAGCUCUAUUGUUGCUUUCCCUACAUUUAGGCAUAUUGUUGUUGACUAGAUGUCAUAAACUAUGUUAGUUACGUGGCUUCACUUUCGGUGUCACUAGAUCUCUUCAUGUGAAGAAGUGCAGAAGCUCACCCUUACUUCAGAGCUAAUGGAUGUUCCACAUUUGCUUGUUGCAAAUACUAUUACACACAUUAGGUGUUGUUCAACUAUUAAUUCCAAUUGUAUGUCUUGUUUCUUCCUAUACUUUAUCAUAUUCCAGCAUACGACUAUGACCAGGAUUCUUCACUAUUUCAAAUAUAACAAAGUUCUAACUGCUGCUGACACUGAUUUUUCUUCCUUCUGGGGAAUAUGGAAACCCGGCCUGUUACUUUCAGCUGGGAUAACCCAAUUCUAGUUGCUUGGGGAAUAUCAGAUAAGUAUCUCCCAAAAUCAGUUGCGGAAGAAUUUCAGAGGGGAAAUCCUAGAUCUGUCGAGCUUAAGCUGAUUGAAGGUGCUGGCCAUAUGCCGCAAGAAGACUGGCCUGAGAAAGUAGUUGAUGCUCUUAGAAUGUUUCUCCGAGUUUGAGAACACGACCUUUAACCGUGGAUUCUCAACUACUCCAGACGGUAUUCCACUUGCAUCAGUGCACUACUAAAAAAAACAGGGUUUUUUGACCAAAUAAUUUCGAUCUCAUUUUUUGGUCGAAAAAAAAUCGACCUGGUCGAAUUUUCAGAUUUUUUUUUUUUUUUUUGGAUUUCGACCUCACUUGGUCGAUAUUUAAACGGAAAAUAAAAUUUCGACCGCAUGAGGUUGAAACUUAUUUUUGUACAAAUAAUAAAUAAAUAAAACAUUUUAAAAAUUUUAAUUAUAUAAAUAAAACAAUUAAUUAAAAAAAGAGAGCAUAUUUCGACUGCAUGCGGUUGAAAAUUAAGUCAAAUUUGAUCAAAUCUGACUUAAUUAUUUCGACCGCACGCGGUCAAAAAAAUAAAUUUGAAAAAUUUAAUAUACUCCCCCCCCCCCCCCCCCCAACAUCAAUCGUGCAAUUCUCACCCCAAAAUAUACCAAAACCUAAUUUUAUCCCAAAACUCCCACCCCCACCACACCCCUCGCCCGCCGCCGACGCCCCAUCCCCACCACACCCCUCCCCGCCGCCGACGCCUCAUCCCCACCACUGCCUGUCCUCCGUCGCCGCCCUUUCUGUCCGCCAGGUACCUUCUUUAAUUGUUUAUUUUUUGCAUCUUUUAUGAUAUGUGUGGUAGUUCUAAUUUCUUGGUCCUUCAACUUUUUUAGAGGGGGAACCACAGAAGCAAGUUGACUAGUGAUGUAGCUGGGGAGCUUAGUGAUACAUCUGUAAGUUGUGAGGAAACUAGAUCCAUUCUCAGGCUAUUGCAUUUUCUCCAUCUGUAAGUUGUGAUGAAAACUAAGAAGCUUUUUUAGAUGGAUGAAAAAUGAUAUUAACCUUUUCUUUUAUUUAUGUACAACUUCAAGUUUAAUGUAGACAAUUAGUCAAUUACACAUA